AAUACAGAGGUCUCAAGCGUUGUUCGGAUUCAUUGGGCGUAAAGGGUGCGUAGGCGGCGCGGUAAGUCGGAUGUGAAAUCUCGGAGCUUAACUUCGAAACUGCAUUCGAUACUGUCGUGCCUGAGGACUGGAGAGGAGACUGGAAUUUACGGUGUAGCGGUGAAAUGCGUAGAUAUCGUAAGGAAGACCAGUGGCGAAGGCGGGUCUCUGGACAGUUCCUGACGCUGAGGCACGAAAGCUAGGGGAGCGAACG
rnacentral:rRNA from 1 species